CCCUUAGACGUUCUGGGCCGCACGCGCGCUACACUGACCAGUGCAACAAGCAUCCAUCCUUGGCCGACAGGCCCGGGCAAUCUUUGAACGCUGGUCGUGAUGGGGAUAGACUUUUGCAAUUUUUGGUCUUCAACGAGGAAUUCCUAGUAAACGCAAGUCAUCAACUUGCAUUGAUUACGUCCCUGCCCUUUGUACACACCGCCCGUCGCACCUACCGAUUGAAUGGUCCGGUGAAGCCUCCGGAUUGGCGCGCACCUCGGUGCCGCCGAGAAGUUGGCUAAACCUUACCAUUUAGAGGAAGGUGAAGUCGUAACA
rnacentral:rRNA from 1 species